UACGAAGGUGGCUAGCGUUGUUCGGAAUUACUGGGCGUAAAGCGCACGUAGGCGGCUAUUUAAGUCAGGGGUGAAAUCCCGGGGCUCAACCCCGGAACUGCCUUUGAUACUGGGUAUCUGGAGUAUGGAAGAGGUGAGUGGAAUUCCGAGUGUAGAGGUGAAAUUCGUAGAUAUUCGCAAGAACACCAGUGGCGAAGGCGGCUCACUGGCCCGGUACUGACGCUGAGGUGCGAAAGCGUGGGGAGCAAACAGG
rnacentral:rRNA from 1 species